rnacentral:rRNA from 1 species
GAGUUUGAUCCUGGCUCAGAUUGAACGCUGGCGGCAUGCCUUACACAUGCAAGUCGAACGGCAGCACGGGAGCAAUCCUGGUGGCGAGUGGCGAACGGGUGAGUAAUAUAUCGGAACGUGCCCAGUCGUGGGGGAUAACGCAGCGAAAGCUGUGCUAAUACCGCAUACGAUCUAUGGAUGAAAGCGGGGGACUCGCAAGGGCCUCGCGCGAUUGGAGCGGCCGAUAUCAGAUUAGCUAGUUGGUGGGGUAAAGGCCUACCAAGGCGACGAUCUGUAGCUGGUCUGAGAGGACGACCAGCCACACUGGAACUGAGACACGUCCAGAUC